rnacentral:rRNA from 1 species
AUUGAACGCUGGCGGCAGGCCUAACACAUGCAAGUCGAGCGGCAGCGGAAGGAAGCUUGCUUCCUUGCCGGCGAGCGGCGGACGGGUGAGUAAUGUCUGGGGAUCUGCCCGAUGGAGGGGGAUAACUACUGGAAACGGUAGCUAAUACCGCAUAACGUCGCAAGACCAAAGUGGGGGACCUUCGGGCCUCACACCAUCGGAUGAACCCAGAUGGGAUUAGCUAGUAGGUGGGGUAAUGGCUCACCUAGGCGACGAUCCCUAGCUGGUCUGAGAGGAUGACCAGCCACACUGGAACUGAGACACGGUCCAGACUCCUACGGGAGGCAGCAGUGGGGAAUAUUGCACAAUGGGCGCAAGCCUGAUGCAGCCAUGCCGCGUGUGUGAAGAAGGCCUUCGGGUUGUAAAGCACUUUCAGCGGGGAGGAAGGCGAUAAGGUUAAUAACCUUGUCGAUUGACGUUACCCGCAGAAGAAGCACCGGCUAACUCCGUGCCAGCCGCCGCGGUAACAC